GAACAUAAAAAUGAACCUAAAAUUUGUAAACGAUGACAGAUUGUCAAAUUGUGUCAAUUGUACCUACUAUUAAUCAAAUUAAUUUGUAAAUCAAAUCUUAUGUUAAUUUAAUUUACGAGUAUUUUCCAUAGAGUUACGAAUUUUUUGUUCAAGAUGUGGUUAGACGUACUAACAGAUAUCGUAGUGUUAAAAAAUUGGAUUUUGUUCAUUUCGGUAUACUUUUCUAUAGUAUUCAUAUUAUUCUGUAUUCUUUGUUUAAAAGAAGUUACAUUAUAUCUCCUGCAUCAUUUCCAAGAAAACAUUUACUCUAUUUACAAGGAAAAUUUCGACAUGAUUAGAAGAUUUUCAGGGACGACUGUACAUUCAAAAAGGAAAAAACAACGUACAGGAAGAAGAAAAUAGAAGAAGAAAACAAUUAUUUUGAGACUAGUCGAUAAAUUUAUUUACCUGUAUCUGAUAAUUAUAUUUACAAUAAUUAGGAAUUGUGUUUAUGUAAUAAAUAAAUUCGAUAUUA